GCGUGCCGUGUCGCUCCACCGCCCUGCUCGCUCGCUUGGUUCCUAGCUUGCUUCCAUGGCGCACCGCAUUUCUCCGCCCGCGUCGCUGCCCCUCCAUGGCGCCGCCCCUCCCUUCCUCUCGCUCCCCACCACCACCGUCCUCCCCACGAGUAUCCCCUUCUUCGUGUCACCCCGGUAGACACGUCUUCGAGAUCAAAUGUCGCAUUUUUAUGCUCCGGCGCUCGAUCUGCAUGUGGUGCCGCUACACCUGCGUGCGCUGGCCCUCGAUCUGCUCAAAUACGGAGAGAAUAGGGAGCAGCGGAUUUGUAAGUGGCGCCGGAGUGGCAGGAAGACGGCGCCCUCCUCGUGGAGGAGGGCGACCGCUCCGUGGCCGCUGACCUUCGUCUCUGCGCGAUGGCCGCUCUCUGAGAGCAAUCGCCGCGUCGAGCGCCGAGGUGCCCGCGAUUCCUCUCUGAGAGGCCAUAGCGAGGUUUGAUUUGUACGAGAACAACAGCGGCACUUGCGUGGCCGUCGCGGGGCCGCGGGGGCCGAUUACUGCAUCGUCGCCGCCGACACCCGCCUCUCCGUCCGAUACAGCAUCCUGUCCCGCGGCCACUCCAAGAUCGUGCAGCUGCUGGCCCAGUAAUUUGAUUGACGUGAAGAUUAAGGUUAGAAGAGAUGGGAGAUGGGGCUCAGGAACGAAGCUGGGGCAGGCCGCGAUGGAGGCCAGAAGAGAUGGGAGAUGGGGGAAGGAAAUGGCACAGGUCGAACAUAGGUGGUGGGCAGCGACCGCGGAUAGAAGAAUGGGAAAAAGUGCUUACAAGAGGGUGCUUGUUGGUGUAGAGCGUGGUAGAACUGUUCCAAAUUGGCAUUCUAGGAGAUUGGGUGGUGGUCUUGGAUCAAGCAGGAUUGGUGUUGUAGAUGCUGCCUAAAAGCAUUCUUCUAGGUGCCUUGCCUGGGAGUAGCUGCCUUGCCAGAGUAGGUGCCUUGCCGGAGUAGCUGUCGUGCCGGAGUAGCUGGGGCGGAGGUGCUGGACAGGGCCGGAGGUGCUGGCUGGGGGCGGAGGUGCUGCAUAGGGCGGAGGUGCUGGACGGAGCCGGAGGUGCUGCCUAGGGGCGGAGGUGCUGGACGGGGCCGGAGGUGCUGCACAGGGCGGAGGUGCUGGACGGAGCUGGAGGUACUGCAGGGGGCGGAGGUGCUGGCUGGGGGCGGAGGAGUCGCUGGGAACGGAACGCCAUGGAAGACGAUGAUGCGGGGAAGGCGAUCCAGAUUGAGGAGGGUACAAUUGUAAAUUUACACGUUUUUCACCUGGUCGGAAAAAGUCCAAAACGUC